AACGAACGCUGGCGGCAUGCCUAACACAUGCAAGUCGAACGAGACCUUCGGGUCUAGUGGCGCACGGGUGCGUAACGCGUGGGAAUCUGCCCUUAGGUUCGGAAUAACAGUUAGAAAUGACUGCUAAUACCGGAUGAUGACUUCGGUCCAAAGAUUUAUCGCCUAAGGAUGAGCCCGCGUAAGAUUAGCUAGUUGGUGAGGUAAAGGCUCACCAAGGCUACGAUCUUUAGCUGGUCUGAGAGGAUGAUCAGCCACACUGGGACUGAGACACGGCCCAGACUCCUACGGGAGGCAGCAGUGGGGAAUAUUGGACAAUGGGCGAAAGCCUGAUCCAGCAAUGCCGCGUGAGUGAUGAAGGCCUUAGGGUUGUAAAGCUCUUUUACCCGGGAUGAUAAUGACAGUACCGGGAGAAUAAGCUCCGGCUAACUCCGUGCCAGCAGCCGCCGUAA
rnacentral:rRNA from 1 species